rnacentral:rRNA from 1 species
UACGAAGGGGGCUAGCGUUGCUCGGAAUCACUGGGCGUAAAGGGCGCGUAGGCGGGCUCUUAAGUCAGAGGUGAAAGCCCAAGGCUCAACCUUGGAAUUGCCUUUGAUACUGAGGGCCUUGAGACCGGAAGAGGUCGGCGGAACUGCGAGUGUAGAGGUGAAAUUCGUAGAUAUUCGCAAGAACACCAGUGGCGAAGGCGGCCGACUGGUCCGGUUCUGACACUGAGGAGCGAAAGCGUGGGUAGCAAACAGG